GUCUUUUUCUCCCAUUACUCCUUCUUCGCCUCACCUCCCCGCUUCCACUCCAUUACCCUCCACCCCAAGCCCUCUAUCUCUCAGUAUCCCUUUAACUGCCUGGGACCUUAAGCUGGCUCAUCACCAUCAUCACCACCAUCAUCAUUCCAAUAAUAUAUCAAACAUGGUCUGUCUCCCUCAAGAUCCCACCACCUGCGGGUCUUUCCAGAAAGAGUGAUAAAACCGGGACACCCAGAACACUGAGAGAUCGUUGCCGGCGUAGGAGGGCAGAAAACUGAAUGCUCUGGAGAGGGCAUUCAUCAGUUCCCAGAGUACUCGGUUGGAUCAAGGGCCCCGGAGAUGGAGGGGGAGAAAGUCUCCGGACCACCGCUUCCACUGCCUCCUCGAGAGGAGGGGUCUCAUCUGUGGCUCUCAAGUGUGACGGGCUCUGGGGAUGGAGAUACCCAGAGCCUCUUGGCCGCGCUCUGAGGGUAGCGUCCCACCUGCUCUGGGAGCCGCAGAACCCAGGGUUAAGGAAGAGGCUGGAUCUGGGCUUGCUGCUGUGAGGGCAGCUAGCUGGUAGGGGAGACUGAAUGAUUUUGUCUUGUCUGGAGCCGGAGCCGGCACAGACCUUGCAAUGAAUGGGGGGUUGGGGGAGGGAGAGUCUUUGGGGGAGUCAAAGGGAGAAUGGGGUGGGAAUCGGGACAGAACCAAGGGGUGGAGAGGGAAACUCCUAGCUCUCUCUCUCUCGCUCUCUCUCUCUCUCGCUCUCUCUCUCUCUCGCUCUCUCUCUCUCUCUCUCUCUCUCUCUCUCUCUCUCUCUCUCUCUCUCUCUCUCUCUUCCAUUCUCUCUCCGCACCAAUAUUUCUCACGCGCGUUGCGGCUGCAAGCCCACCUUCUCCCCUCCCCCCUCCUUCCCAUUACCAGGGUUCUGACUCCCCCCAACCCCCACCCCUUCAUGCAACUCCUAAUUCCCCACCGCUCAGUACCCACCCGCUGUUCUGCAGGUCCGGGAACCCUAUCCGGAGGUGGGCAGUAAUGAAACAGAGCGAUGGCAGUGGGGUCAGAGCUCCAGACCCUCCUACGGCAGAAGUCGGAGUGGGCCAGACGCGGGGUUCCUAAGAGGGCAGCAUAGCCCCUGACCCAGAGACGGGGCAGUACUGGCACAGAUUGGAGCUUCGCUUGCUCCAAAGGCCAGGGUGCCGGAACCAGGGGCUGCUCUCUGCAUUUUCCAACUUUUCUCUUCCUCCUGAGGUUCGAAAUGGUGUUUCGGGUAGAAGCAGCAGCUGCAUCUACCCUCAGACCCAAGUGGUUCUGAGAGACUCCGGAAGAAACAAAACCACCGGUUUCCUUCCCCACCCCCCAACCCCUCUCCUCACCACCCACCCGGCACCCCCGCUGUUCCCCAUCCCCCACCAUAUUCCGACCCCCGGAAAAAAAAAUGAAUAGAAAAAGCCCACGCUGCCCUCUCUCCUC
rnacentral:lncRNA from 1 species